GAACAACCAGAACACUGAGAACAUGAUCUGAAUAAUAAACCGGAAUAAUGAGCGUGAACACUGAGCACUCUCGCUUCCUCUCUGAUACAAGCCAUAAGCUCUAUGACUUAUGACAAUAUAUAGUGUUUGUUUAGAAUUUUAAGCGGUUAGAAUGAAUUUUUCAUUAUCAAUAGCAUUAUAUUCUUUACCUUGAAUAUUACUUAUAGGGAUAACCAUUGUUUGAUACAAAAAUAGGUUAGGAACAUACGGAAAGGAAAUAUUUUAAGUUGUUAUGAUAUUUAGGUUAUGAUGUACAACAAUAUCGUUAAAAAUGCCGGUAAUGAUCUAGUUAAAAAGUGAGCUUUUAAACACGAUUGAACGUUUACAAAUGUUUAUUUCUUUUUGUUACAAAUAAUUUGUUGUUAUACAAUAUAAAAAAAUGACAGAUGAAGAAAGGGAUACCUUUUUAAAGUUUUUACGAGAUUUGAAAGUAAAAAAGAAAGAUUAUUCUACAUUUGAAGAAUCACUCAGUAUAUUACAAAAUUAUGCCGCGACUAAAGGGUUGAUAGAUGAAGAUAUCGAUUUGUUAACAGAUAUUAUUAUAAAUACAGAAUUAGGUGCUACUAAAUUAGUAUCCUUAGCAAAGUGUUUAGUUCCAAGACACGAGAUACCUGAACGCGCAGUCAAGUCCCUUAUUUCUUGGUGCCUAGCAUCUAUAAAUGAACUGCCUAUUACUCUAUCCACUAUUAUUAUACAAUGGACAGUUGGCAUAUUGGACUAUCAACUAAUAGAUAAGAAAGUUAUAAAUAUAUAUUAUGGCGUCUUCUUUUAUAUGAUGUUGAAAAAGGAAAGACUGGAAAGACAUAUAGCACGUAUCAUUUAUGUAUUAACAAAACCAGAAGAUGUAACUCGCAGAGAUGUAUCUAGAUUACUAAAUCUUCAUCAGAAAUAUUCGAAACCUCGUAAACAUAUUAUUGUCUUAUUGUCAUUAUUCAAAUCUUACAAACCGGAAUUAGUUCCUGAAAAAAUUCAAUCUAUAAACACAGAAAGUGUAUGGAAACCAAUACCUGAAAUUUUGCGAUUAAUGCUUCAAGAUGCGAAAAGUCGUUUAGAGAGUCAACAAACACAGGACUUACAUUCAGAGUGUUUUAACUGGAAUGUAUUUGAGUUUAUGAGAACAAAGAAGACUGUAGCACCUUUGUUACCACCUGUAGGAUAUUUUCAAAUUGGCUCCAAUAUUUUCAAAGAAAAGGAUACAAAAUCUAUCUUUGAGAUUUCUAGUACAGAAGAAUUGGGAAAAUUGCACUUAAGUGUAGAAUUACCGUGUAAUGCCAUAUCACUUUUGUCUAAUAUUGCUGGGUAUCACCUUCUUACAUUUGCUGAUUUCCACUAUCAGAGUAGAUUCUCUUAUAAUCUCUACAAUACUUUAGUAAGAGCAUUUAUUUUGGAAAAUGAAAAAUUUUCUACAGAAGAAAUUAACAAAUUACUUGAUAUAACUAUAGAAUUUUCACAAUAUAUGCAACAAGAUAUACUUGUCGUUAAUCGUUUCCUUGAUGAGUAUCUGUAUUUUAAUACGGGAGAAUAUCAAUCAAAGUUACUAGUUUUAUUGCAAUGGAUGACGUCGGUGUCUAUUAGCGAUUUACAGGAAAAGAUAUUAGUUCAUGUACAAAAUAUGUUUUACGAAUCAGCCUUAAGUAUGAAGUGUGAAAUUAUCAGAACAUUGAAAAUGUUGAUCACAAAUUUGUUUGUUAGUCAAGCAUUUGAAGAAUGCAGUCAUAAAACACCUGCACCAUUUCUAGGGCAAGGUGCAGUGGAUAAUUUAGAAGAGGCUAUUCCUAUUCUCGCAAAAACCAUAAAAACCCUUAUCGUGUCUGGUUUAAACAUACAUUCGUACGAUAUUUUAUUACUCUCAGAAGCAUUAUCAUUUUAUGAGGAGAUUUGUAUAUUGGAAAAUCGAAGUACCAUAAUGUCGUUUACAUUAGCACCUCCUGCAGUAAUUUAUGGAGGUUUUAUUACGAAGCAUUGUGCGAUUUUGUCAAAAGUAUGCAAACUGCUAUUGAGGUAUCGUAAUAGGUGUUUACAAUUAAAAAAUCGUAAGAUACAAAAGUUAUAUAAGAAAAAGUUUAAUACUAUAUCUAUCUAUGCUCAAGACAUUGUUGAAGCAUUAUGGUAUGACGAGAAAUGUUCCAACGAGAGCGAUGGAAGAUUUAAAACAUUGCAAUCUAAAUAGCCUUUUAAAUAUUAGUAACCAUUAUGCCAUCUUACCUUACAAAUGUAUAUUGAACAAAACAGGACUGAGUAUUAACACAAGAGAGGCUGCUAUGAGCGUAGCAUUGUAUUAUUAUCCAACCAUAAGUGAAUUUCUUGAUAUAUUUCAAAAUUAACUGUAAUAAUAAAUUUAGAUAUUAAAAGGUAUAUACAUUAUUUCCGAAGAAAUUUAAGAUACUCUUGAGAUGUAAUGUAAAUGUUUUUAAUUGUACGUUUUAUACAUUAAAACAAUAAUUCAUAAAGUUUGUAAUAAUAAGUACGUGUGAAAUAAGUUGAUUUAAAUUAAUCAUUGCCUUUUAUUUCUUUGAUUUUUACAUAAAAAUUUUCAUGUACAGUUCAUUCAACAGUCUUUAAUACAUAUCUACCUAAUGAAAAGUUACAUAUAAAUUAUCAUGGAUGCCUUGGGCUCAUACUUUAGAAACUAUAUCAUUUUUUUUUUUACAUAUCUUUUAAUUUAUCUUACUUAUUUUAUGCAUUAAUAUUUAGUGUACACAUUGCAGUUGAUCGAAAAUUACUGAUGUUUACAUGAAAAUAGUAGCUUGACAAUGCAUUAUGCAGAAAAUCUCUUUGAAAGUGAGCGUGAACAUCUCUUAAAUUUAAAAUCUAUAUAAUGCUCUAUUAAAAGUAUUCUAAAUACAUAUUCUAGAAGAGGCCAUGCUAUCGAUGCAACAUUAUUCUAAAUACUAAAUAUACUUUAUAACUACCAUACUUUAAAACAAUACAUGUACGUAUUACUAAUACUAUUGAUAGUGCGUUAAAGAAUUGAUAGGGUACCAUUUUGAUACAUGUUAUUCAUCAAUAUUUCGAGUAAGUUUCAAGAACAGAACAAAAAAAUUUAUA